rnacentral:lncRNA from 1 species
GGUGAGAGAAUAUGAAUGAUUCGAAUUGAAUUGUUCUUAUUUAUCGAUUAGAAGAGUUCUAAUUAAAUAUCAAAGAGUUUGAUGUUGAGCUCCACUGCCGAAUGGUAAUGAACCUAUGCGGUCACACACAUUAGGAAUUGUGUGCACCCGAAUCGUUUGGAUGAAAGUCGUUCACUAAAGAGUUUAGUGUAAGCGAUGAAAAUAAAAGGAAGCUGCUUAAUUAAAUUAGAUUUAAUUAUUCGAUUCGGUUAUAACUGAUAGUCCUAAUUAGAUUAGGAUAUCAGAAUCAGUUUGAGAAUUAUGCGCAAGAUUUAAAUUUAUCUCUAAUUAGAUUAGUGGAUAAUAUUUAAUCAUAAAAGAUAUUUAAAUGAGAUUUAAAUAUUAGUAAGUAAUCUUAUUGGAUAAGAUCAAAAUUAGAUAAG